GAUCACAGAUGAAAAAUCAAAAAAAAA
rnacentral:sRNA from 1 species